rnacentral:misc_RNA from 1 species
CCAGGGGCAUCAUCUCCAGUGAUCUUAGUGUUGAGAAGGCAUCUGCCAAUAUAAGGAUCCUUUGGCCUGAACUUGUUUACAACUACACCUUCAUCCUGUUUCUUCGAUACCUUCGCAACCUUUGCAGGUAUUUCCGUUGUGAGUUGGGCUCUAAUGUGAAACACUUUUCUACUAACUGAUACAUUUCUGUUGCAUAAAAGAACCUUGUUGAAAGUGAUAUUUUCAGGGGAAAUGAAGAUGGUUUUGAUUGAAAGAGAAGUUGAAUUAGAGGAUUGUAGAGAGACUGAAGCACUUAAUGCAGCAGCCAUAUUGGUUAUGAUGCUGAGAAAUAGUAGAAUAAAUUGAGAGUGGUGAACAAUAGAACCUUUUUUGGGGGAGUGAGG